rnacentral:rRNA from 1 species
AACGAACGCUGGCGGCGUGCCUAACACAUGCAAGUCGCGCGCGAAAGUCUUCGGAUGAGUAGAGCGGCGCACGGGUGAGUAACACGUGGGUAAUCUGCCCUGAGGUCUGGAAUAACCCGGCGAAAGCCGGGCUAAUACCGGAUGAGACCACGGCAAGAAAUUGCUGUGGGAAAAGCGGAGGACUCCUUCGGGAGCUUCGUGCCACAGGAUGAGCCCGCGGCCCAUCAGCUAGUUGGCGGGGUAAUGGCCCACCAAGGCUAAGACGGGUAGCUGGUCUGAGAGGACGUUCAGACAGUCUGGAACGGCGACACGGUGCGGUCUCCGACGGGGGGCAGCAGUGGGGAAUCUUGCGCAAUGGGCGAAAGCCUGACGCAGAAACGCCGCGUGUGUGAUGAAGGUCUUCGGAGCGUAAAGCUCUGUCGGCAGGAACGAUGGCGGGCGUAGAUAACACCUGCGAACGUUGACGGUACCUGCAAAGGAAGCACCGGCUAACUCUGUGCCAGCCGCCGCGGUAAAAC